AACUAGUUCGACGUUACCUUCUACAUGCAGUCGAGCGGACAGAUGGGAGCUUGCUCCCUGAUAGUUAGCGGCGGACGGGUGAGUAACACGUGGGUAACCUGCCUGUAAGACUGGGAUAACUCCGGGAAACCGGGGCUAAUACCGGAUGCUUGUUUGAACCGCAUGGUUCAAACAUAAAAGGUGGCUUCGGCUACCACUUACAGAUGGACCCGCGGCGCAUUAGCUAGUUGGUGAGGUAAUGGCUCACCAAGGCAACGAUGCGUAGCCGACCUGAGAGGGUGAUCGGCCACACUGGGACUGAGACACGGCCCAGACUCCUACGGGAGGCAGCAGUAGGGAAUCUUCCGCAAUGGACGAAAGUCUGACGGAGCAACGCCGCGUGAGUGAUGAAGGUUUUCGGAUCGUAAAGCUCUGUUGUUAGGGAAGAACAAGUACCGUUCGAAUAGGGCGGUACCUUGACGGUACCUAACCAGAAAGCCACGGCUAACUACGUGCCAGCAGCCGCGGUAAUACGUAGGUGGCAAGCGUUGUCCGGAAUUAUUGGGCGUAAAGGGCUCGCAGGCGGUUUCUUAAGUCUGAUGUGAAAGCCCCCGGCUCAACCGGGGAGGGUCAUUGGAAACUGGGGAACUUGAGUGCAGAAGAGGAGAGUGGAAUUCCACGUGUAGCGGUGAAAUGCGUAGAGAUGUGGAGGAACACCAGUGGCGAAGGCGACUCUCUGGUCUGUAACUGACGCUGAGGAGCGAAAGCGUGGGGAGCGAACAGGAUUAGAUACCCUGGUAGUCCACGCCGUAAACGAUGAGUGCUAAGUGUUAGGGGGUUUCCGCCCCUUAGUGCUGCAGCUAACGCAUUAAGCACUCCGCCUGGGGAGUACGGUCGCAAGACUGAAACUCAAAGGAAUUGACGGGGGCCCGCACAAGCGGUGGAGCAUGUGGUUUAAUUCGAAGCAACGCGAAGAACCUUACCAGGUCUUGACAUCCUCUGACAAUCCUAGAGAUAGGACGUCCCCUUCGGGGGCAGAGUGACAGGUGGUGCAUGGUUGUCGUCAGCUCGUGUCGUGAGAUGUUGGGUUAAGUCCCGCAACGAGCGCAACCCUUGAUCUUAGUUGCCAGCAUUCAGUUGGGCACUCUAAGGUGACUGCCGGUGACAAACCGGAGGAAAGGUGGGGGAUAACGUCCAAACAUCCAUGGCCCCUUAUAGACCGGGGGUACCACCCUGGUUACAAUGGGACGAAC
rnacentral:rRNA from 2 species